UACGAAGGGAGCAAGCGUUACUCGGAAUUACUGGGCGUAAAGGGCGCGUAGGCGAUUUUGUAAGUCUUGUGUGAAAGCCCAAAGCCUAACUUUGGAAGUGCACAAGAUACUGCGAGAAUUGAGUUCCGGAGAGGAAGAUGGAAUUCCCGGUGCAGCGGUGAAAUGCGUAGAUAUCGGGAGGAACACCAGUGGCGAAGGCGAUCUUCUGGACGGAUACUGACGCUGAGGCGCGAAAGCUAGGGGAGCAAACGGG
rnacentral:rRNA from 1 species